AAUAUCAAAGGUGAGCCAGUACAGGAUGGACCCGCGUCUGAUUAGCUAGUUGGUAAGGUAACGGCUUACCAAGGCGACGAUCAGUAGCCGACCUGGGAGGGUGAUCGGCCACAUUGGAACUGAGACACGGUCCAAACUCCUACGGGAGGCAGCAGUGGGGAAUAUUGCACAAUGGGCGAAAGCCUGAUGCAGCAACGCCGCGUGAGUGAUGAAGGCCUUCGGGUCGUAAAAC
rnacentral:rRNA from 1 species